rnacentral:rRNA from 1 species
CACGUAGGGCGCAAGCGUUGUCCGGAAUUAUUGGGCGUAAAGAGCUCGUAGGCGGUCUGUUGCGUCCGCUGUGAAAACCCGGGGCUUAACCCUGGGCUGGCAGUGGAUACGGACAGACUAGAGGUAGGUAGGGGAGAAUGGAAUUCCCGGUGUAGCGGUGAAGUGCGCAGAUAUCGGGAGGAACACCGGUGGCGAAGGCGGUUCUCUGGGCCUUACCUGACGCUGAGGAGCGAAAGCGUGGGGAGCGAACAGG